GUUGAUCCUGCGGGAGAUCGCUGCUAUUGGGAUUCGAUUAAGCCAUGCAAGUCCUGGGGCUCUUCGGAGCACCGGCAAAAUGCUCAGUAACACGUCGAUAAUCUGCCCUUAGGUCUGGGAUAACCUUGAGAAAUUGAGGCUAAAACCAGAUAGGUGAAAGGUACUGGAAUGUCCUUUCUCUUAAAAGCAAUGCCUAAGGAUGAGUCGGCGGCGGAUUAGGCUGUUGGUGGGGUAACGGCCCACCAAACCUAAGAUCCGUAGGGGCCCUGAGAGGGGUAGCCUCGAGAAGGUCACUGAGAUACUGGACCUAGCCCUACGGGGUGCAGCAGGCGCGAAACCUUUACAAUGCACGCAAGUGUGAUAAGGGAAUCCCAAGUGCUCAUGUUUACAUGGGCUUUUGCCAAGAUUAAAGACCUUGGCGAAUAAGUGGUGGGCAAGACUGGUGCCAGCCGCCGCGGUAACACCAGCGCCACUAGUGGGGAUCACAUUUAUUGGGCCUAAAGCGUCCGUAGCCGGCUUAGUAAAUCUUUUGUGAAAUCGUCAGGCUUAGCUUGACGGCGUGCAGAAGACACUGCUAAGCUUGGAACCAGGAGGAGUCAGAAUUAUUUUGAGGGGAGCGGUAAAAUGCUAUAAUCCUCGAAGGAAUACCUGUGGCGAAGGCGUCUGACUAGAAUGGAUUCGACGGUGAGGGACGAAAGCCAGGGGAUCAAAUCGGAUUAGAUACCCGAGUAGUCCUGGCUGUAAACGCUGCGAGCUAGGUGUUGCAUAUUCUACAAGAAUAUGCAGUAUCGUAACGAAGGUGAUAAGCUCGCCGCCUGGGAAGUACGGUCGCAAGACUGAAACUUAAAGGAAUUGGCGGGGAAGCACCACAAGGGGUGCGGCGUGCGGUUUAAUCUAAUUCAACACAGAAAACCUCACCAGGGGCGACGGCAGAAUGAAAGUCAGUCUAAAGGGCUUACUUGACAAGCCGAGAGGUGGUGCAUGGCCGCCGUCAGCUCGUGCUGUAAGGUGUCCUCUUAAGUGAGGUAACGAGCGAGACCUGUAUCUACAAUUGCUAGCAAGUCCUUCAGGACGUUUGAGCACAUUGUAGAGACUGCCUUGGAAACAAGGAGGAAGGUGCAGGCUACGGUAGGUCUGUAUGCCCCGAAUCCUCUGGGCUACACGCGCGCAACAAUGGUAGAGACAAUGGGACACAACUCCGAAAGGAGAAGUUAAACCUCGAAACUCUAUCCAAGUCCAGAUUGAGGAUUGCAACCCAUCCUCAUGACGAUGGAAUCCCUAGUAAUCGCGAGUCAUCAGCUUGCGGUGAAUGUCCCUGCUUCUUGCACACACCGCCCGUCAAACCACUCGAGCAGGGUUUAGAUGAGGCCUAGUUUUUUGGCUAGUUCGAAUCUAAACUCAGUGAGAUGGGUUAAGUCGUCACAAGGUA
rnacentral:rRNA from 1 species